rnacentral:lncRNA from 1 species
AGCAGCACGACGUGGCCCCGGGCGCAGGGAGCCGCACUAUAAAAAGCUGCUGGAAUUUACUGGCAGCUACAAAUAUUUGCUUAACUUGCGUCUGGAGUUGGGGGAUUUUCCGCGGAGCAGCAGAACCAGCAAUUUGAAACAAGCCACCCCAACCUCUUUUUCAAAGUUAUAGGAGGUUCCCUGUCUUGGAGUCUCCUGCCUUGAAUUUUCUGAGGUGCUGCUAUUCUGGGCAACUAUCAAAAUCCUACCUGUUAAAACAUGAUGGAUUAGAGAAAAAAACAACCCACCAGGAACCUGAAAAACCGGCGUUCAUCUCCAUGACCACGGCUUGAACUCUCCUUCCAACUUAACGAUAAUAGGUUCUGUCUUAGAAACUGCUAUGUAAUUUGAUGUAUGGGGGUCAUUUGGCUCCAGAGGAGGCAUAGAAGCACAAACCAUAAACUCCCUGCCAGACUUCCCUGAUCUUUGUAUACUUUUGUUGGUCAUAUUUGUUAUUUGGUCCAUUUUCCUGCUUCAGAAAUACUAAGUAAAGAAAAACAACUCUUUAAAAAA